UGCAAUAACUGAGAAGAUGACACUGAAGAUUUGGACGUAAGAGGGUAAUUUUCUGCUUGAUUGAUGGCCAUUUUCGUGAUAGAAAAUGAAUCCAAUGACACGUGUAAGCCAGUCAUGAAAACGUCAUAAAUGCAUAUAUCUCACCGCCUCUCGAAGUCUCGGACUAACAAUGUCACUAAAGUAUUUACGAAAUAAAAAACAUAGCACCAAAAUCUAGAAUAAACAUACAAAAUCAUCAUUGGUAUUAGAUAAAACACACAAACCAUGACAAUCACACACGUGUACAUUUUCCAAAUAGUGACCAAAAAUCAUGUUAACCAAGUCUAUAUGGACAUCAAUGAUUAGUCGUUUGGUUCCAUACUUUAGAUAUUAAUAUGAAAAUAUAUAGCUGAUACUUUCAAUAUAAAUGAUGUUUUAAAGAAUUUUUAUUGUUUCGUGAUGUUUACAAAAAUAUAGACGACUUUGUAGUCAAUUGCAAUUUUAUUAUAUUUAUUUAUAAUUAAAUAAAUUAGUUUUAAAUUAAAUUUUAU
rnacentral:lncRNA from 1 species